rnacentral:rRNA from 1 species
AGCAGCCGCGGUAAUUCCAGCUCCAAUAGCGUAUAUUAAAGUUGUUGCAGUUAAAAAGCUCGUAGUUGAAUUUCGGGGUUCUACCGUUGGUCGGGCUUUGUCUGUACUGGCGUGUAGAAUUUCUACCUUCUGGGGAACCAUUAUGUUAUUAAUUUAGCGUAGUGGGAAACCAGGACCUUUACCUUGAAAAAAUUAGAGUGCUCCAGGCAGGCCUAUGCUCGAAUACAUUAGCAUGGAAUAAUAGAAUAGGACGUGUGGUUCUAUUUUGUUGGUUUCUAGGACCGCCGUAAUGAUUAAUAGGGACAGUCGGGGGCAUCAGUAUUCAAGUGUCAGAGGUGAAAUUCUUGGAUUUAU